ACAAUGCGGUAUUCUAAUUCCACAAAUUGAGUAAUUGAAGAAUUUCAGAGAUACAACAAGGAUGGAAUUACUGUCCUCGUUCUAGGUUUAGAAGGCAGGCAUGCAAGUACCUAGAGAAAGAGAACAGAUGAAAGCUGGCAGCCUCUUCAUUUACAGACAGCACAAUUUUCUGAAUUUAGCAAGACUCUUCUUUUCCCCCAGAACGCUCUAUAUGGUGCCUCUACUUUUUUAUACUUCUAAGUACCUAAUAAGAAAGUGGAAUUAGAGAGGAAUUUGAAGAUGCUACACUGUUGGCUUGAGGAUGGAGGAAAGGACCCCCAGCCAGGGGAUGAGGAGGCCUCUAGAAGCUGGACAAGGCCAAGAAACAGAUUAUUCUCAGAGUCUCCUGAGGGAAUGCAACCCUGUGGACCCAUUUUAGAUUCUGAGCUCCAGAACGGUCAUACGUUUGUGUUGCUUUAAGCCAUCAGGUUUGCUGUAAUUUGUUAGAACAGUGAUAGGAAACACAGCCCUCUCUGACCUCUGCUUCUGUGCUUACAUCUCUCUCUGACUCUGGCACUCCUGCCUCCCUCUUACAAGGAUCUUCAGGACUACAUGGCUCCCCCGAAUCUCAGGUCAUCCAGGAUCAUUCUCUAUCUCAAGAUCCUUAACGCAAUCCCAUCUGCAAAGUCCCUUUUGCCAUGUAAGGUACUAUGUUCACAGGUUCCAGGGACUAGGACAUGAGUGUUUUGGGGGACAUUGGUCUGCCUACCACAGACACCUCCCAGGUUGUAAAACACAUCAGCAGCAGAUUCUCAAGCUUGGCUCUAGGAGCAGCACUAGAGCAACAGGAGGUCGCCACUAGUCUGAGGGACCCCAGGCCUACCCGCGGCUGCUGCAGAGCUCUGUACCUCAGCAGGUGUCCAUGCUUGGAGGGGAGUUUGACCACCUGCUCUAUGAGACACAGUGCUCCAGAUCAAUGUGUAGGCUUCUCAGUUGUUCUGCAAGAACCAGCUAAUGGAUAGAGUUUUCUCCAGACAAAGUUUUAAAUUUCAUAUUUCCUGAAAUCUUUGAGGCUUGUUUUGCUGCUACUUCUUUUUGGCGAAUGACAAAAAGAAUGGUUUGUACUUAAUAAACAGGAACUGAAUAAAUUAAAAAAGAGCUGUGGUAUGUGUGACAUGAUCCCUGUUCUUGCAAGGCAUUUAUAUAUCUAGCAAUAUCCUGAGUUAUUCGGGCUUGGGGAGAUGCUUGGAGUGCUGUACAGUGAAUGUCAAUGAUA
rnacentral:lncRNA from 1 species